rnacentral:rRNA from 1 species
UCAGGAUUAACGCUGGCGGCGUGCCUAAUACAUGCAAGUCGAAUGGUAGCAAUACCAUGGCGAACGGGUGAGUAACACGUAGGUAACCUGUCUUUAAGCCGAGGAUAACCAUUGGAAACGAUGGAUAAUACUGGAUAGGACAUUUGAAGGCAUCUUUAGAUGUUUAAAGAUUUAUCACUUAGAGAGGGGCCUGCGGCGCAUUAGCUAGUUGGUGAGGUGAAGGCUUACCAAGGCGAUGAUGCGUAGCCGGACUGAGAGGUUGAACGGCCACAAUGGAACUGAGAACGGUCCAUACUCCUACGGGAGGCAGCAGUAGGGAAUUUCGGCAAUGGGCGGAAGCCUGACCGAGCAACGCCGCGUGAACGAAGAAGUAUUUCGGUAUGUAAAGUUCUUUUAUUAGGGACGAAAAGACAGAUUGACGGUACCUAAUGAAUAAGCUCCGGCUAACUACGUGCCAGCCGCCGC